rnacentral:lncRNA from 1 species
GUAAUCUCAGCACUUUUGGAAGUCAAGGUGGGAGGAUCACUUGAGCCCAGGAAUUCAAGACCAGCCUGGGCAACAUAGUGAUACCCCUUCUCUACAAAAGAUUAAAAAAUUAGCUGGGCAUGGUGGCACUUGCCUGUAGUCCCAGCUACUUGGGAGGCUGAGGCAGGAGAAUCGCUUGAGCCCGGGAGGCAAAUGGUACACUGAUCUGAGAUCGCACCACUGCACUCCGGCCUGGGCGACAAAGUGAGACUGUCUAAAAAAUAAUAAUAAAAGGUCAAAUGCAAUGUCAAAUCCAAAGCCUCAGGAGGAAAGUGAGUUCAGUUCCCAAGAGAACAGCAAUAGCUCAACAAUGUAAAACUUCAUCUAGAGUAUAUCGGCAUAUAAAUAGAAUCAUGGAAGCUUUUUAUAUUACCUGUUU